rnacentral:rRNA from 1 species
GAUGAACGCUAGCGGCAGGCCUAAUACAUGCAAGUCGAACGGGAUCUGAGGGUAGCUUGCUACCCGAUUUGGGAGUGGCGCACGGGUGCGUAACGCGUGAGCAACCUACCCAUAUCAGGGGGAUAGCCCGGAGAAAUUCGGAUUAAUACCGCAUCAGAAUGUAUUAACACAUGUUAAAGCAUUUAAAUAUUCAUCGGAUAUGGAUGGGCUCGCGUGAAAUUAGCUAGUUGGUGAGGUAACGGCUCACCAAGGCGACGAUGUCUAGGGGCUCUGAGAGGAGAAUCCCCCACACUGGUACUGAGACACGGACCAGACUCCUACGGGAGGCAGCAGUAAGGAAUAUUGGUCAAUGGGCGAAAGCCUGAACCAGCCAUGCCGCGUGCAGGAUGACUGCCCUAUGGGUUGUAAACUGCUUUUGUCGAGGAAUAAACCUAUCUACGUGUAGCUAGUUGAACGUACUCGAAGAAUAAGGAUCGGCUAACUCCGUGCCAGCAGCCGCGGUAA